AAAAGCGCUAGGGUUGCAAGUGGCACCAGAGACGUGCCCUUGUCCCGGGGUCCAUUUGAGGGUGAGCGUGUUGGUGCCGAGCUGUUUUUUUGUUUUGUUUUGUUUUUUUGUUUUUGAGACCGAGUCUCGUUCUGUCGCCCAGGCUGGAAUGCAGUGGUGUGAUCUUGGCUCACUGCAACCUCCACCUUCCGGGUUCAAGUGAAUCUCCUGCCUCAGCCUCCUGAGUAGCUGGGAUUACUGGCACCCGCCACCACGACCAGCUAAUUUUUGUAUUUUUAGUAGAGACGGGUUUUCACCAUGUUGGCCAGGAUGGUCUCAAUCUCCUGACCUCAGGCGAUCUGCCUUCCUCAGCUUCCCAAAGUGCUGGGAUUACAGGUGUGAGCCACCGCACCCGGCCAGUGCUGAGCUGUUUUGACAACUUGGACCCCGGGUCCUCUGUGGGUAGGAAAAUCAGCUCCCUCUUUGCUCCUCUGGGGCAGCUGCACCUCGGGCCAGCUUCCUGCCUGUCUGCCUGCUGGCACUGCUGGGUCGCCGUACCCAAACGCACAGCCGGUGCCCCGUGCUAGAAGGUCUUCAGUUUCCAGAAGAGCCAAAGCAUCUUUGGACCUACCUAGGGAAGGACCUGCCUGUGACCUUUGCCCUGUCCUGGAGGGUCCAGCUUUGGGCUGAAUGGCAGCACCCACGCUGGGCCGUCUGGUGCUGACCCACCUGCUGGUGGCCCUUUUUGGCAUGGGCUCCUGGGCUGCUGUGAACGGGAUCUGGGUGGAGCUGCCUGUGGUGGUAAAAGACCUUCCAGAGGGUGAGUGGGAGGGAGGUACAGGGAAGCGUGGGGCAGGUGUGCCCAGAAAGGUGGCCUGUGGCAGCUCUUUGUCCCUUAGCCACUGUGCUCCUGACAUGGCAUCAUUCCUUCCCUGCAGGUUGGAGCCUCCCCUCAUACCUCUCUGUGGUUGUGGCACUGGGAAACCUGGGUCUGCUGGUGGUGACCCUGUGGAGGCGGCUGGCCCCGGGCAAGGGCGAGCAGGUCCCCAUCCAGGUGGUACAGGUGCUGAGUGUAGUGGGCACAGCCCUGCUGGCCCCUCUGUGGCACCACAUGGCCCCAGUGGCAGGGCAGCUCCACUCUGUGGCCUUCCUAACUCUGGCCUUGGUGUUGGCAAUGGCCUGUUGUACCUCUAAUGUCACUUUCCUGCCCUUCCUGAGCCACCUGCCACCUCCUUUCUUACGGUCUUUCUUCCUGGGUCAGGGUCUCGGUGCCCUGCUCCCCUGUGUGCUGGCCCUAGUGCAAGGUGUGGGCCGCCUCGAGUGCCCACCAGCACCCACCAAUGGCACCUCUGGGCCUCCCCUCGACUUCCCUGAGCGUUUUCCUGCCAGCACCUUCUUCUGGGCACUGACUGCCCUUCUGGUCACUUCAGCUGCCGCCUUCCGGGGUCUCCUGUUGCUGUUGCCAUCACUACCCUCUGUAACCACAGGGGGCUCAGGGCCUGAACUUCAACUGGGAUCCCCAGGAGCAGAGGAGGAAGAGAAGGAGGAAGAAGAGGCUUUGCCAUUGCAGGAGCCACCGAGCCAGGCAGCAGGCACCAUCCCUGGCCCAGACCCUGAGGCCCAUCAGCUGUUCUCAGCCCAUGGUGCCUUCCUGCUGGGCCUGAUGGCCUUCACCAGUGCCCUGACCAAUGGCGUGCUGCCUUCUGUGCAGAGCUUUUCCUGUUUGCCCUAUGGGCGCCUGGCCUACCACCUGGCUGUGGUGCUGGGCAGUGCCGCCAACCCCCUUGCCUGCUUCCUGGCCAUGGGCGUGCUGUGCAGGUCCCUGGCAGGGCUGGUUGGUCUUUCUCUGCUGGGCAUGCUCUUUGGGGCCUACCUGAUGGCACUGGCAAUCCUGAGCCCCUGCCCACCCCUGGUGGGCACCACUGCAGGGGUGGUCCUUGUGGUGCUGUCGUGGGUGCUGUGUCUGUGUGUGUUCUCAUAUGUGAAGGUGGCUGCAAGCUCCCUGCUGCAUGGUGGGGGUCGGCCGGCAUUGCUGGCAGCUGGUGUGGCCAUCCAAGUGGGCUCCCUGCUUGGUGCCGGUGCCAUGUUCCCUCCCACCAGCAUCUACCACGUGUUUCAAAGCAGAAAGGACUGUGUAGACCCCUGUGGCCCCUGAGCCUGGGCAGGUGGGGACCCAACUCCACCCCACCUGUCUUCAUUGUGAGGCUGCCACAGUGCCUGACUACUUGUGGCCCAGGCAGGCUUCCCCCAACACAGGAACGCUCAUGGACACCUGCACACUCCACAGAAGACGUUGGCAUGUGAGGCCAGGGUGGGCACCAAAGACCAGGCCCAGAGCCAGGGGACAGGUUGGGGCUGUGGGCUUGGACCCAGGGCCUGAGACCUUUGUGGGAUUUGUGCAAUUAAGUGUUUUUAUUUAAAACCAAAAACAAAAACAAAAGCCUAAUGAAAACCUUAUAAGAAAUAUAUAAUGAAAUCAGGAAACUGGAUUAAAUAAUUUUUCAUACAU
rnacentral:sRNA from 1 species